rnacentral:rRNA from 1 species
GGGCCCGCACAAGCGGAGGAACAUGUGGUUUAAUUCGAUGAUACGCGAGGAACCUUACCCGGGUUUGAACGCAUUCGGACAGGGGCGGAAACGUCCUCUUCAGCAAUGACCGUUUGCGAGGUGCUGCAUGGUUGUCGUCAGCUCGUGCCGUGAGGUGUCGGCUUAAGUGCCAUAACGAGCGCAACCCCUAUUGCCAGUUGCCAUCGAGUAAAGUCGGGGACUUUGGCAAGACUGCCGGCGUAAGCUGCGAGGAAGGCGGGGAUGACGUCAAAUCAGCACGGCCCUUACAUCCGGGGCGACACACGUGUUACAAUGGCAGGGACAAAGGGCAGCCACCCGGCGACGGGGCGCUAAUCCCAAAACCCUGUCUCAGUUCGGAUCGGAGUCUGCAACUCGACUACAUGAAGCUGGAAUCGCUAGUAAUCGCAAAUCAGAAUGUUG